AAAUUAAGUCCGUAACUUAGGGAAAAGGACUGCCACUGGUUGUGAGGACGACUAGCUUGUCUGAGCGAUUGGUGGUCGCAGCGAAAUGGCUCUGCCGACUGUUUAACAAAAACACAGGUCUCUGCGAAAGCGAAAGCUGACGUAUAGGGGCUGACGCCUGCCCAGUGCCGGAAGGUUAAGGGGAGAUGUGAUGAGCAUUGAACCGAAGCCCCGGUGAACGGCGGCCGUAACUAUAACGGUCCUAAGGUAGCGAAAUUCCUUGUCGGGUAAGUUCCGACCCGCACGAAAGGCGUAACGAGCAGAGCACUGUCUCAACAAGGGACCCGGCGAAGUUGAAAUAGCGGUGAAGAUGCCGUUUACCCGCAGCAGGACAAAAAGACCCCGUGGAGCUUUACUGUAGCUUGACAUUGAGUUAGGGCUUUGUCUGUGUAGGAUAGGUGGGAGGCUGUGAAGCUGGUCCGCUAGGAUCGGUGGAGUCGACGUUGAAAUACCACCCUGAUGGAGUCUUGGCUCUAACCUGUGGCCCUAAUCGGGCAUGGGGACAGUGUCUGGUAGGCAGUUUGACUGGGGCGGUCGCCUCCUAAAGAGUAACGGAGGCGCCCAAAGGUUCCCUCAGGCUGAAUGGAAACCAGCCGUAGAGUGUAAAGGCAUAAGGGAGCUUGACUGCGAGACAAACAAGUCGAGCAGAGACGAAAGUCGGGCUUAGUGAUCCUACGGUUCCGAGUGGAAGGGCCGUGGCUUAACGGACAAAAGCUACCCCGGGGAUAACAGGCUGAUCUCCUCCAAGAGUUCACAUCGACGAGGAGGUUUGGCACCUCGAUGUCGGCUCGUCGCAUCCUGGGGCUGAAGUAGGUCCCAAGGGUCCGGCUGUUCGCCGGUUAAAGCGGUACGCGAGCUGGGUUCAGACCGUCGUGAGACAGGUCGGUCUCUAUCCGCUGUGGGCGAAGGGGAUUUGAGAGGGGCUGCCCCUAGUACGAGAGGACCGGGGUGGACAGACCGCUGGUGUACCAGUUGUCUCGCCAGAGGCAUUGCUGGGUAGCUAAGUCUGGCAGCGAUAGCCGCUGAAAGCAUCUAAGUGGGAAACGCGCCUCAAGAUGAGAUCCCCCACUGUAAAAGGGUAAGUGCACCGGGAGACUACCGGUUAGAUAGGCGGCAGGUGUACGCACUGUGAGGUGUUGAGCCGAGCCGUACUAAUGCACGAGGACUUAAUCCA
rnacentral:rRNA from 1 species